AAUAAGAUCAUUUUUCAGUUUUUUAAUACAAUAUUUUGACUUUUCUUCUUAUUUGAAUUUUUUGUGAUUAAUAUUUUUAUUCUUCAUACAUGAUAAAACAUAAAUAGUAUUUUAUACGUGACUAAUUUUUUUAAGUUUGUUUACAAUUUUUUCAAAUAAGACGAAUGGUCAAACGUUAUACAUGGAAAAAUGAACUUAUU
rnacentral:pre_miRNA from 1 species